CGGGAAAAGCUCAAAUUUAAAAUCUGGUAGUCUUUGGCUGCCCGAGUUGUAAACUAGAGAAGUGUUAUCCGUAUUGGACCAUGUAAAAGUCUCCUGGAAUGGAGCAUCAUAGAGGGUGAGAAUCCCGU
rnacentral:rRNA from 1 species